AAUAAAUAAAUCACGAUUAUUUAAUAUUUUUUAACUUUAAAAUUCCUAAAAUACAGUCCUCAGUCACGUGACAACGAACGCCAAUGAGAGCGCGUGACGUCGUAUGUUGCAAUACAAAACAACUUGACAUUAGCUUGACAUAUUCAUUAUCAUUACGGUCGUAAUAAUAUUGUGGUUUUCAUUUAUUUCUCUUACUUUCUUUCGUUUUUCUUACUUAAUUAUACUAUACUAAUACUAGAAACUGUUGGUAACGACAAUGGAAGCAGGGUUUUUAAAAGCGACUAGCAGUAACUUGCCCAAAGUCGAUGUUAUUAUGUUGGGUGCGUUUUUCGCAAAUAAUACCAAUUUUUGCUCUGCCGAAUUCCGGAAUACCAAAACUUCAUUAUCAUCUCGUGCAUCAUACGGGGAUGAUGCAAUUAGCUACGUGCAAUUAAAACGUGACGGAAAACUUUGCACCGUAAAAUGUAAAAUAUGUCCAGAGCAUAAAGUGCGCUCCAAACUAUACACAGUGACAUUAGUUAUUGACGAAGAAGAGGACUUGAUUUGUUCCUUAGAGUGCCAUGACUGCGUAGCUUCCCAUGGCGGUUGCAAGCAUGCCAUAGCGUUUGUCAUGUGGAUUCAUCGCAGGAGUGAAGAGCCGUCAUGCACGUCCACUGAGUGUUAUUGGAAAAAGUCGAAACUGUCACAAGUUGGUACCAGUCUUAAAUGCAUAACUGCAAAAGAAAUGUGCAAGGGCUGUCCUAGUUUGUCAUCGAAUUUGAGUGUGCUUGCAAAGUAUUUACAGGAAGCAAGUAAAAGAAAAAUUGAGGACUGUGAAUUAUUAAAAUAUCAGCCCAACUCAAACCUUUCAGAUACAGCAUUAGUUUCAAUGCAUCAACUUGUUUAAAUUUAAAGAAAAAUGUUCUGAAAUAUUUAUUCAAAAUGUUAAUAUACCAUAUAUUACUAUCAGAAAAGUUGAAAAAGAAACUAGAAAUCAAUACAAAAGCAGACAGUAUGAACUGCGGUAUGGCCGAAUAACCGCAUCUAGAGCUUUCGAAGUAAGUCGCUGUAAGACCCCAGAUGGCACAUUAAUAUCAACAAUUAUGGGUGGACAGAUACCAGACACACCAGCAAUGAGAAGAGGAAGGAUUUUAGAAGACUCGGUGAGGCAAAUUUUGCAACGAAAGUUAAAGAAAACAAUUAGAACGUGUGGGCUAAUAUUGAACUCAAAAUAUCCUAUGAUCGCUGGAUCACCAGAUGGUAUCUGUGAAGAAUACAUAAUAGAAAUUAAGUGCCCUACAAGUGCAAAAACUUUUAUGAAUUAUAUAAAAGAUGGGAAAACUACUGAAAGAUAUUAUUAUCAAAUCCAAAUUCAGAUGUACUUGGCUGAUUUAAAAAAGUGCAUAUUUUGUGUAGCUGAUCCUAAAUUUAGUGAAAACAAGAAAAUUGAAAUGUUAUAUGUUGAUUAUGAUGAAAAAUUUGUUGUAAAUAUUAUAGAAACCAAUUUGGUUCCAUUUUGGCAAAACAAUGUAUAUCCAUUAUUAUAUCAAAGUAUAAACAACUCCUAACUAGGUUUUGUUUAUACUUUGAUAUAAUAAUGGAUAUACUAGGUUUAAUAUUCAUGUUACUUUUUGUAUAAAAAUAAUUAUAAUAAAUAAAACAAGGCAUCA